GAGCAAGGUUUUUCUCUUCUUUUUAGUAUAUUGGAGAAAGCCCCUUCUCUGAAGAGGCCAUUGGAGAUUGGUAGGGCAAGCAAUGGACUCUAUGUCAUUGACUUAACUUUCACUUGUGGAUUGUAUCUUCCUUCUCUAAAUACCAUAUCUGCUUCUAGUUCUUUUACAAAAUGUGAUUACAGUGCUUCCAAUACUACUUGUAAUCCUAUUGUUCCUAUUAAUAAAGUAGAUCUAUUUUGACAUCAAAGAUUGGGGCACAUGCCUUUUCAUAGAAUGAAAUCUAUUUCUUGUUUGUCAGAUAAAUUGUCUAAUAACCAAUCUUUCAUUUGCAAUGUUUGCCCUCUGGCUAGUCAGCAGAGAUACCCUUCAAUGAUAGUUCAAUCAAAACUA